rnacentral:snRNA from 1 species
AUUUAGAAACAUGUCUAAAUUUU